rnacentral:rRNA from 1 species
AUUGAACGCUGGCGGCAGGCCUAACACAUGCAAGUCGAACGAGUGGCGGACGGGUGAGUAAUGUCUGGGGAACUGCCCGAUGUAGGGGGAUAACUCCUUGAAACGGUAUCUAAUACCGCAUACCAUCGGAUGUGCCCCGAUGGGAUUAGCUAGUCGGGGGGGUAACGGCUCACCUAGGCGACGAUCCCUAGCUGGUCUGAGAGGAUGACCAGCCACACUGGAACUGAGACACGGUCCAGACUCCUACGGGAGGCAGCAGUGGGGAAUAUUGCACAAUGGGCGCAAGCCUGAUGCAGCCAUGCCGCGUGUAUGAAGAAGGCCUUCGGGUUGUAAAGUACUUUCAGCGAGGAGGCGUUACCCGCAGAAGAAGCACCGGCUAACUCCGUGCCAGCAGCCGCGGUAAUUC